CAGAGGGUGCAAACGUUGCUCGGAAUUACUGGGCGUAAAGCGCGCGUAGGCUGACCGGAAAGUCGGGCGUGAAAUCCCUGGGCUCAACCCAGGAACUGCACUCGAAACUCCCGGUCUUGAGCGGUGGAGAGGGCAGUGGAAUUCCUGGUGUAGAGGUGAAAUUCGUAGAUAUCAGGGGGAACACCAGUGGCGAAGGCGGCUUCCUGGACACCAACUGACGCUGAGACGCGAAAGCGUGGGGAGCAAACAGGAUUAGAUACCCUGGUAGUCCACGCUGUAAACGAUGGGCACUAGGUGUCGCGGGUUUUGACCCCCGCGGUGCCGUAGCAAACGCGUUAAGUGCCCCGCCUGGGGAGUACGGCCGCAAGGCUAA
rnacentral:rRNA from 1 species